rnacentral:rRNA from 1 species
CUUAAAUUGAAGAGUUUGAUCAUGGCUCAGAUUGAACGCUGGCGGCAGGCCUAACACAUGCAAGUCGAGCGGAAACGAGUUAGCUGAACCUUCGGGGAACGAUAACGGCGUCGAGCGG